GAUAGUAAAAUUAUGGGGAUUUUAGGUUUUGAGGAAAUAUAAGUUAUUUAAGUAUUUCAAGUUUUAAUUAUGAAAUAUGUGUUUAAUUAGAAAUUUUCUAAGAUUAGACAUUGACACAAGUUAUGUACCCAUUUUAUAGAUGAGAUAAAUUUUGGAUU